CCUUGAAAGGUUCUACUCUUAAUUUAAUCAUUUACAAAAUGAUCGACCUAUUCUUCCUUAUCUAGGAACGAAAGCGAGCUGAUCCUGGAGUCCCUGCAAUCCUUCUCGAAACUCCUGAACAGUUUGCCAGGGUUCAAAUUCAGUUCCUUUCAAGUUACCGGAGCAGUGAGGAUCAAGUUGCUAUUCGGUCAAGAGGAUCCAGGUCUAAGGAGAUCCUCGAUCCAGUUAUUAGGAGAUCUGGCAACAUCCCUUGGCCAGGAGACCAAUUUUGAGGCAUUCAAGGAUCGAGUGAGAUCCAAGGGAACCUCAUCACUUUACUCUUGCAUCUAUGCAAUCCAGACGUGUAUGUUGUCAAGGCCUCUAAAAGUACAAUCCAGAAGGUUGGCCCUUAUCUGGAUUUUCCGGAGGUAUACCGCAUGAUCCAGGAGUGUUUGGGCGACGACACCGACUUGAUGUUCACGGAUUUUAUUAAGGAGUUAAUUAAACGCAUAGGAUUUAUGGAAUCAAUGAUAUCAAGGUUACUUGGGGAUCAAAUCGAGGACGAGUUGGUUUAAUGGUGGUGUCUAAGCGCCAAUCCCGCCCUUGUCACCGGUUUUUUCUACGCCAAACUACUAAAGUUUCACUGGAAACUGUCUGCGAUAAACUGAUUAGACUGAUGCAAGACGAGUCAGAAGAAGUUAGGAUUAAGGCAAGUCAAGCUAUAUCGUGUUUGUUUUUAUAAUUAUUUAUUUUUAAUUUUUACAACGGGGCACCUUGUA